rnacentral:rRNA from 1 species
AUUGAACGCUGGCGGCAGGCCUAACACAUGCAAGUCGAACGAGUAGCGGACGGGUGAGUAAUGUCUGGGAAACUGCCUGAUGGAGGGGGAUAACGACUGGAAACGGUAGCUAAUACCGCAUACCAUCGGUUGGGCCCAGAUGGGAUUAGCUAGUUGGGGGGGUAACGGCUCACCAAGGCGACGAUCCCUAGCUGGUCUGAGAGGAUGACCAGCCACACUGGAACUGAGACACGGCCCAGACUCCUACGGGAGGCAGCAGUGGGGAAUAUUGGACAAUGGGCGCAAGCCUGAUGCAGCCACGCCGCGUGAAUGAAGAAGGCCUUCGGGUCGUAAAGCACUUUCAGCGGGGAGGCGUUACCCGCAGAAGAAGCCCCGGCUAACUCCGUGCCAGCAGCCGCGGUAAUAC